rnacentral:ncRNA from 2 species
UUCUUAUCAAGAAAGGUGGAGGGACUGGCCCUGUGAAACCUUAGCAACCGGACGUUUGUGUUCACGGUGCUAAUUCCAGCAGUAUUUUUGCGAAGAUAAGCU